UAAUACAGAGGGUGCAAGCGUUGUUCGGAAUUAUUGGGCGUAAAGCGCGUGUAGGCGGCUUUGCAAGUCGCGUGUGAAAUCCCUCGGCUUAACCGAGGAAGUGCGCGCGAAACUGCAGAGCUUGAGUACCGGAGAGGAUGGUGGAAUUCCCCAAGUAGAGGUGAAAUUCGUAGAUAUGGGGAGGAACACCGGUGGCGAAGGCGACCAUCUGGACGGAUACUGACGCUGAGACGCGAAAGCGUGGGGAGCAAACAGGAUUAGAUACCCUGGUAGUCCACGCCGUAAACGAUGAGAACUAGGUGUCGUGGGUGUUGACCCCCGCGGUGCCGUAGCUAACGCAUUAAGUUCUCCGCCUGGGAAGUACGGCCGCAAGGCUA
rnacentral:rRNA from 1 species